rnacentral:tRNA from 1 species
GGGGAUAUAGCUCAGUUGGUGGAGUUUUUGCCUUGCAUGCACAAGGCCUUGGGUUCAAUCCCCAACAUCAUAA